rnacentral:rRNA from 1 species
GACCGGGUCGGCCAGGCCGCCGGUGGGCCGGUUGUGUGGCGACACGCACCGCCGGGUAGCCGCGCCUGGGAGGGAGAACCGCUGACAGCAUCUAAGCGGGAAGCCCGCCUCCAGAUGAGUCGCCCCAUGGCGUCAGGCCAGUAAGACCCCCCGCAGACGACGGGGUGGCGAGGCCCCCGGUGCACGCCCGGCGACGGGCGCAGCCGAGGGGUGCUCAUGGUCGAGGGCUCUCCCCCC